ensembl:lncRNA
GUGGAAUCCAGAAGAAAGACUGACCUUGGCCCCCAGCGCGGAACAGAAUUCCCUCUAUACUCGGGAUGUAAACUGCGGCCCUCUGUCCGAGACGACGUCCUCGGGGAUCCCGUGGAGCCUGAACACAUGGGAGGUGAGGAGCCGAGCCGUCUUCAGGGUAGUGGGGAGCUUCGGGAGGGCGACACAGUGUGCAGUCUUGGAGAAACGAUCGACAAUGAGUAUCUGUUCUUGCCCUGAGUGCCCGCACAUCUCUGGCUCCAUGCCAUUACCUACAUGGGCGGCCACAGCGGGAGACAAAGACCUAACUCAGCAUGAGGCACAACUUGUGGACGCAAGUGCAUCCUGGUGACCUGUGUUCCUCAGAAGAAGCCGGCCAUCUGUGUGCUGUAAAAGAACAUCAGACCAGGUCCCUGUCUUCCAUCGCUGCAUGAUCCAGUUUUGAUGCUCACUGUUUGUGCUUUGGCAGUGGACAGGGGUCCGCAUGUGCACCUUGUCAGUCAGGGUCCAACACGGCAACAAAAUGCAAUGAAAUGUGUGUUCUGACACCUUUCUAUCAGAACCAGCAUGACCCUUAACAACAAUGUGAUCACAGUAGCUCAUCAGUUGUAUCAGACCACAAACGUUAGCCUUCACAGCCCAUGUGCAUUGCUAUACAUGUGCUUGUUUGCAUGUGUGUGUGUGCAUGCAUGUGAGAAAGUGUGUUUUUCUUGUCUCCUUUCUUGACGUAAUUCAAGUCAUUACUUUUAGCUAGAUGGCCAAAAGGUGUCAUCACCCUUGAGUUAAAC